rnacentral:rRNA from 1 species
UACGUAGGGUGCGAGCGUUGUCCGGAAUUAUUGGGCGUAAAGGGCUCGUAGGCGGUUUGUCACGUCGGGAGUGAAAACUCGGGGCUCAACCCCGAGCCUGCUUCCGAUACGGGCAGACUAGAGGUAUGCAGGGGAGAAUGGAAUUCCUGGUGUAGCGGUGAAAUGCGUAGAUAUCGGGAGGAACACCUGUGGCGAAGGCGAGUCCCUGGACGAUACCUGACACUGAGGCACGAAAGCCAAGGGAGCAAACAGG